GUUCACGGUGACGGGCCUGCUGGUCGUACCACGUCUUCCGACUCCUUUGGGCCUCUCGUUGGUUGACUUCUGCCUCUUCCCUGUACUUUGCCAACCGUUCUCUCAUCUCCAGGACAAACUGGAUCACACCCCUUUCUGAGGUCUUUGUGGAUUUGGCCUCCCAGCUCUUCUUGAGGAGAUCCAGUGGGCCUUGGACAUCCCAGCCAUAGAGGAGUUCGAAUAGUGAGAAGCCUGUUGAAGCUUGUGGGACUUCCCUAUAAGCAAACAACAGGAAUGGUAGCCAACGAUCCCAGUCCUUCCCUGUGUCACUCACGAACUUCUGCAGCAUCCUCUUCAGGGUCUGGUUGAAACGUUCCACCAAGCCAUUGGUCUGUGGGUGGUACGGUGUCGCCUUGAUGGCAGUGAUGCCAAGCUGCUGUUGGAACAGUUUCAUCAACCGAGAGGAGCUGUAAUGGUGCGCAGGGGAAAAGCUUCUGGGAACCGUGUAGCAUAAUCACAGACCACCAGGAUGUAUUCGUGACCGCUACUGCUCUUAGGUAAAGGUCCAACAAUGUCCAUGGCUAUUCUCCUGAAUGGAGUGGAAAUUAUAGGAAGUGGGUGUAGUAAUGCUCUGUCAGACUUGUGUGUUAUUGCAGUUUUCUGGCAGGUAGGACAUGUUGCACAGUACGUCUGAAUGUCAGUGUACAUUGAUGGCCAGAAAAAACGUGAACUAACCCGCAGAUAGGUUUUGUGACGACCCAGGUGACCCGCCCAUGGGAGUGUGUGCGCUAAGUGCAUGACGAGUGGCCUGCAGGUGGUUGGAAGAACUAACCGUAGGUGUUCACCUUCAGCUGCAUACAGAACAUCAUCAGCAACAAUAAACCGCACAUUCCCCAAACAUUUGUCACUCUCUGUUGUCACCUUGGCAAACAAUGGUUUUAAAGUUUGGUCUUCUUUCUGCAAAGCCGAAAUGUCAGCUGGUAUGUCAGAUGUUUCUGCUGUUGUUGUGAUCUCAGGAUCCAGCAACUUAAGUUUUUUCUCAAACCGUCUUUGACGACGGGAUUUCCUGGGCAUUUCUUUGCCUCCAUCAAAGAAAUCGUCAUCCAAACGUGGAAGACUUUGCAUUCCCGCUUUAGCCUGAGCUCUAGUUAGCACAGGUGCUGAGACAGUAACAGCUAGCUCAUCAUUAGCUUUAGCUGUUUCAGUAGCCUCAUUUAAUAAGUCCCCCAACAUAGGUAAAUCACACCCCAAAAUUAAAUCAACAGGUAGGUUCUCUACCACCCCGACAGUCAAAAGAUAGGAUUGUUCAUUUAUGGUCACUGUUACAUCCGCUUUUGGGUACAAAUGUUGGUCGCCAUGAACACACACAACACUUGUUUGCCUGAUAUAAUCAAGUCCACCAAAAGGGAUUAAACUCUGUUUGACCAGAGAAAAAAAACUGCCCGUGUCCAACAUAGCAGUAACCUGCUGUCCGUUCACAGUCACCUGUUUAAGUGGCUGGAAAGUGUCUUUGUCCAUGUGCACAGGCCCUGCUCCUGUGACAGUCUCUGGCCUGGGUGCGUAGCAAGCACCUGUGAAUUUAGUCUUGCGGAUUGGACAUACGGAGGCUUUGUGACCAAUCUGCUGGCAAUAGAAACACACAAGGUCUCAGUGGAGCGGUUUGAAUGGGAAGACGCUGAUCCCCACCCGACGGCCGUGCAGACGCUCCUCGUCGAGCGUUGAGAUACUGCAGCGCAAGCCGGGCAGCGGUGAGGCCAUCCUCCGGGUCGUGCUCCUUCACCCACGUCCUCACGUCAGCUGGAAGCACACGCAGCAGCUGCUCCAGGAUGACGAUCUCCCCGAUCUGCUCCUUGCUGUGUUGCUCUGGGCGGAUCCAGCGACGGUAGAGGCCCUUCAGGCGGUGGUAUGUCUCAGUCGGAUUCUCCCCAGAUGGCACCACAGUAGACCGGAACUGCUGACGGUAAGUCUCUGGCGAGAUGUCAAAUUUUACCAGGAGUGCGUCUUUCAGGUCCUUGUAGAUGUGGGCUUGCUGCUCGUCCAUUGCUGUGUAGGCCUCCAACGCCUUUCCGGACAGCAGUGGCACCAGGGGACAUGCCCACUCAGUCUCUGGCCAUCUCCACGUCCUGGCAAUCCGUUCAAAACGUAGCAGCUGGAGUCCUCCUGUGCCACUGGAUGCCGUCGACGGGACGUUGCAGCUGGUGUUGGCAGAUCCAACCUUGGGCUACUCACUGCGGCUGAGCUUGGUCCAGCGGCUUUGGGACUGAUGUUACGCCGCCGACCAGAAUGGUGCUCUGCCCUGGAAAAAGAGGCUUCCAAACCUUGGAGGGCAGCGAUGAAUCUGUCCUCCCGCUGCUGCUGUCCACGGAGGAAGUCUCCCAUCAUAGCCGCCAAGUCACCUUCUGGGCCUUUGGUCAGGCCUGGAGAACCACCAGAGGCACCAGGAUCUACCACCUCCUCCUCAGAGGAUGAAUUGGACAACAGAGGGACUGCAUCCGAUGUUGGUUCCAUCUCCUCCUUCCGGGAACGCAGACCUCUGUGUCUCACCUUUUUGCGGCCAGCCAUCUGCUUAUCCCACUUCUGACACCAACUGUCGUGGGUCCCACCAGGGAAUGAUUGGGCAGAGGCGCCAAGGUGAAAGUAUUCUUGACUUUAAUGCAAGAAUAGAGCA